GGUAGGUUAGCUCAGGGGGUUAAGAGCGUAGCACUGGUACUGCUCUGGUCAUGGGUUCAAACCCCAUAAUGUCCU
rnacentral:tRNA from 1 species